rnacentral:rRNA from 1 species
UACGUAGGGUCCGAGCGUUGUCCGGAGUUACUGGGCGUAAAGCACGCGCAGGCGGCGGUGCUGGCCCGGCGUGAAAGCCCCCGGCUCAACCGGGGAGGGUCGUCGGGGACCGCACCGCUUGAGGGCGGUAGGGGCUGGUGGAAUGCCUGGUGUAGUGGUGAAAUGCGUAGAGAUCAGGCGGAACACCCGUGGCGAAGGCGGCCAGCUGGGCCGUCCCUGACGCUGAGGCGCGAAGGCGUGGGGAGCGAACGGG